UACGUAGGGUGCGAGCGUUGUCCGGAAUUAUUGGGCGUAAAGAGCUUGUAGGCGGUCUGUCGCGUCUGCUGUGAAAAUCCGGGGCUCAACCCCGGACUUGCAGUGGGUACGGGCAGACUAGAGUGUGGUAGGGGAGACUGGAAUUCCUGGUGUAGCGGUGAAAUGCGCAGAUAUCAGGAGGAACACCGAUGGCGAAGGCGGGUCUCUGGGCCACUACUGACGCUGAGAAGCGAAAGCAUGGGGAGCGAACAGG
rnacentral:rRNA from 1 species